GUGUUAAAAGCAUAGUGGGAAAGUGACGUGUAAUUCGUCCACAUUACUUGAUGCGGUUAUAGUCCGAAUGCCACCUAACAC
ncrna:unclassified sequences AdoCbl variant RNA